rnacentral:lncRNA from 10 species
AUAGAUCUUCCAAGGAAGUUUUCAUUACAGAGCCAAAGUCGAUUACAACUUUGAGAAGCUAGAAGUAGAAUCUGAUUUCUGGGGGAUUAAUUCUUCCCUCGUUCAAAUAGCAUAUAUGAGAAUGGAAAGCUGCCUGUGAGAAAUAUGUUGGAGCGUGUGCUGGGACAAAGUCAACAGCAGACUAAAUUCAGAGCUGAGAACAGGGCCGCCUUCUGCAGCUCAGCGAAACUGUACGUGGAAAAUUUCACAAGCUCAGCUGGUUCUUGGGGACAGCAAAUCUCCGGUAUCCUGAUGAUCAUCUGGAAAGAGCAGUGGACCAUGAGGAAACCCAGCUCAGGAGGUGAACAAAGACUUGAAGGACUUGGAGGGGUUGCCGUGCAAACACAGAGGGGAGGAACAUCCCGAGCAGAGAAGUCAAUGCAAGUAUCCUAAAACCAUAGAAAGUUCAUAAAGGGAAGAAGAAUGGGAGAGACAACAGGAUUUGAACUCCAUUUGUGUGUAUUGGCACCUGCAACAUUAUCUUUUCUAAACACCACAAAAGAGAUUUCCUACACUACUCCAACCAGGAAACUUCAUUAUGAUGUCUCUGAGGAGCUUGAGAAGAAAUGAUGUUUGUCACUGCAUCAGCACUCUAACAACCUCUAAAUAGGUGGUUCACUGACUAAUUUGAACCACAAUUUCAUCGGAGUCUUACAGCAGAGUUUGGAUAAAAUGGUAAUUGAUCUUAAAUCUGUGCAUGUUCUAAACGCAAGUCUGACUUUACCACAGAGGCAGAGCAGGUGGCCACCCUCCAAACACAAAACAUUACUGGGAACGAAAUGCAAAAUGACCGGUGUGUGAGUCAAAGACUGGGAUUUGGAAAGAGUAGGCAAUUUACAGUUUGCCUAGGGUAAGCAAAAAUUCCACAGUCAACUGCUGACUACAUGGAUUAGCAAAUUCAAACAUUUUCAGGUUAGGAAGAGAGAAGAAUUUGCAAAUGAACUGACAAUGGAUUUAACAGGUUUUAGCCUGAGGUCGCUUAAAAUUUUGAACACCACUUGCUUAGGAAACGGGGGCAGUCUGGAAGCAAGCACUAGUACUGGAUCAGCUUUGCUAAAACUUACAGACCCUUGGGUUCACUGACUGUCCAAAUGAUUUUUGACUAUUUCCGCGUAUUUCUAAUUGGGUCACAAAAAUCAGCACACUUUCUCUAAGAAAACACUGUAUACACACAACAGGUUCACACAAAUCAAAUAUUCUGUUUUCUGUCUUCGGUUGUUUAAAAUAUUGAAAUAUGCCAUACUCAUGACACAAUGGAAAUAUUCAAGCUGCAAGGUGAAACACAUUCAAAUAUGGCUUAAAAUGUCUAUUCACUGAAAAUGUAUAUUUCACCCAGAAAUAUAUCCAUUCAAAUAUUAAUAAAACAAACUGGAUGUUCAGCAUUAUGUCUGAGAGGCUUUUUUUGGCAGCCAUAAACUAUACACUGAUCACUUUUGCACUAAUAUUAUGAAUGAACAUUCUGCUCAAGUGAUUCGAUGAGGAAAGACUCCAGUGCAGUUUUGUCUUGACUAAACUUGGGUCACUCUCCAGAAGAACAUGAUAUGUACUUUUCACCUCUAAAGCCAGGGAACCACAUGCUGGCCCACACAUGGCCAGAGCUGCAAGAUCUGGUAAAAA